GGCAAGGAAGAGGUUAGUGCUUAGAGGAGAUGCCUAUGGGAAAUAUCAAGGAGGACUAAUUCCAACAUUCCUUGAUAUGUCAGGAGUCGAUCACACAUCACAGGAGCCCAACCCAUCACACCCUCCUUGCCUCCACUGACUGCUGCAGCACCACUCUGCACCAGCUCUUCAUUAAGUCAGGGUUAAUUCCAGCCUUCCUGCAGCUGAUACUCGGGAUCUUCCUGACACAAGCAGACACAGCUGGUGCACCUGUGGGGUUUUAACUUCUUAGAUGGAUAAACACAAGGCUAGCAGAAAAUAAUAAGUCCAGGGAAUUACCAAACAAGAGUUCUCACAGUCAUAUGAGUUCAUUUACACCAUGUGUAUUUCUGCUAAAGUUGAUGCAACAGUAUAAUUACAAAUUUUAUAUUUGAAGUGAAUCUGGGAAGACUGCUGAGGGGUAGAGACCUUGCCUGCAGAAAGAAGGACAGAUCUGAGAGUUAACCUCUACACCUCUGUCGCUGCUAUGCUGAACUACCCACCACCUGUCUACCAUAAUUGUAGGAGGGAUCAUUGGACGUGGCACAUUUUUGAAAACUAGCUCUUCUAGAUUGCACUGCCUAACCAAUGCCAUCAGCAAAUUAUCUCAAGUACAUCUUGAGCAGUUCUGCGUAUUUCAGCACAAGUUUUCUUUGAAAAGAUGACUUACGUAGAUCCAUCUGCAAGAAGCAGCUAAUUUGGGGCAACUUAGAGCGCAGAAGAGUUCCUUUUCUUUCCUUUUUUUUAAGGAAAGAAAGAUAAAAUUUUCACAAAAUCA